CGGGACAUAGCUCAGCCUGGUAGAGCGCUGCGUUCGGGACGCAGAGGUCGCUGGUUCAAAUCCAGUUGUCCCGACCA
rnacentral:tRNA from 1 species